rnacentral:rRNA from 1 species
AGGACGAACGCUGGCGGCGUGCUUAACACAUGCAAGUCGAGCGGAAAGGCCCUUCGGGGUACUCGAGCGGCGAACGGGUGAGUAACACGUGAGCAACCUGCCCUUAGCUCCGGGACUAGCUCCGGGAAACCGGAAUUAAAUACCGGAUAUGACCUAGGCCGACAUCGGCUGUGGUGGAAAGUUUUUCGGCUGGGGAUGGACUCGCGGCCUAUCAGCUUGUUGGUGGGGUAAUGGCCUACCAAGGCGACGACGGGUA